GAUGAACGCUGGCGGCGUGCUUAACACAUGCAAGUCGAACGGAAAGGCCAGUGCUUGCACUGGUACUCGAGUGGCGAACGGGUGAGUAACACGUGGGUGAUCUGCCCUGCACUUCGGGAUAAGCCUGGGAAACUGGGUCUAAUACCGGAUAGGACAAUGGUUUGGAUGCCGUUGUGGAAAGUUUUUUCGGUGUGGGAUGAGCUCGCGGCCUAUCAGCUUGUUGGUGGGGUAAUGGCCUACCAAGGCGUCGACGGGUAGCCGGCCUGAGAGGGUGUACGGCCACAGUGGGACUGAGAUACGGCCCAGACUCCUACGGGAGGCAGCAGUGGGGAAUAUUGCACAAUGGGCGCAAGCCUGAUGCAGCGACGCCGCGUGGGGGAUGACGGCCUUCGGGUUGUAAACUCCUUUCGCUAGGGACGAAGCGUAUUUGUGACGGUACCUGGAGAAGAAGCACCGGCUAACUACGU
rnacentral:rRNA from 1 species